UACCUCAGUAACGGCGAGUGAAGCGGUAAAAGCUCAAAUUUGAAAUCUGGCUCUUUCAGAGUCCGAGUUGUAAUUUGUAGAAGAUGCUUCGGGUGUGGUUCCGGUCUAAGUUCCUUGGAACAGGACGUCAUAGAGGGUGAGAAUCCCGUAUGUGACUGGAUACCUAUGCUCAUGUGAAGCUCUUUCGACGAGUCGAGUUGUUUGGGAAUGCAGCUCAAAAUGGGUGGUAUAUUUCAUCUAAAGCUAAAUAUUGGCCAGAGACCGAUAGCGCACAAGUAGAGUGAUCGAAAGAUGAAAAGCACUUUGGAAAGAGAGUUAAACAGUACGUGAAAUUGUUGAAAGGGAAGCGCUUGCAAUCAGACUUGCACUUGGUGUUCAUCAGGGUUUCGUGCCCUGUGUACUUCAUCAAGUUCAGGCCAGCAUCAGUUUGAGUGGUUAGAUAAAGGCUUGGAGAAUGUGGCCCUCUUCGGGGGGUGUUAUAGCUCCAGGUGCAAUGUAGCCUACUUGGACUGAGGACCGCGCUUCGGCUAGGAUGCUGGCGUAAUGGUUGUAAGCGACCCGUCUUGAAACACGGACCAAGGAGUGUACCUAAUAUGCGAGUGUUUGGGUGUUAAACCCAUACGCGUAAUGAAAGUGAACGCUGGUGAGAACCCUUAAGGGUGCAUCAUCGACCGAUCUUGAUGUCUUCGGAUGGAUUUGAGUAAGAGCAUAUUGGGUGCGACCCGAAAGAUGAUGAUCUAUACGUGAAUAGGGUGAAGCCAGAGGAAACUCUGGUGGAGGCUCGCAGCGGUUCUGACGUGCAAAUCGAUCGUCAAAUUUGCGUAUAGGGGCGAAAGACUAAUCGAAUCAUUAAGGAAUAGACCAAGCUCUAGGUGAUUGAGAAACCCCUUUGGGGUAUUAGUCCUGGAGACAGGGCGACAUUGUCAAAUUGUUCGGGGACCACCUGUUAAAUUAUAUGCUACUGCAGCAGUGCUGAAAGGCCUGUGAGCACUGAGGGUAACGCCCUCAGGGAUGGUAAUAACGCAUAUAUAGGGUAUAUCCGCAGCGAAGUUCUAAGGCUUUCGAGCUAUGAAUCGCGUUCACAGACUAGACGGCAAUGGGCUCCUCGCGGGGCUUAAGAUAUAGUCGAACCCCUCAGAGAUGA
rnacentral:rRNA from 1 species